GUUUGAUAAUUAAAGCUACGGCGCUUGAGGAUAGAUGUGCGUCUGAUUAGCUAGUUGGUAAGGUAACGGCUUACCAAGGCGACGAUCAGUAGGGGGCGUGAGAGCGUGGCCCCCCACACGGGUACUGAGACACGGACCCGACUCCUACGGGAGGCAGCAGUAAGGAAUAUUGGUCAAUGCCCGGAAGGGUGAACCAGCCAUGCCGCGUGAAGGAUGACUGCCCUCUGGGUUGUAAACUUCUUUUGGAUGGGACGAAAAACGGGAUUUAUCCUGGACUGACGGUACCAUCAGAAUAAGCACCGGCUAACUCCGUG
rnacentral:rRNA from 1 species